rnacentral:rRNA from 1 species
ACUCCUACGGGAGGCAGCAGUGGGGAAUAUUGGACAAUGGGCGCAAGCCUGAUCCAGCCAUGCCGCGUGAGUGAUGAAGGCCCUAGGGUUGUAAAGCUCUUUCACCGGUGAAGAUAAUGACGGUAACCGGAGAAGAAGCCCCGGCUAACUUCGUGCCAGCAGCCGCGGUAAUACGAAGGGGGCUAGCGUUGUUCGGAUUUACUGGGCGUAAAGCGCACGUAGGCGGACUAUUAAGUCAGGGGUGAAAUCCCGGGGCUCAACCCCGGAACUGCCUUUGAUACUGGUAGUCUUGAGUUCGAGGGAGGUGAGUGGAAUUCCGAGUGUAGAGGUGAAAUUCGUAGAUAUUCGGAGGAACACCAGUGGCGAAGGCGGCUCACUGGCUCGAUACUGACGCUGAGGUGCGAAAGCGUGGGGAGCAAACAGGAUUAGAUACCCGAGUAGUCCCAUGA